rnacentral:rRNA from 1 species
CAUACGAGACCGUACCGCAAACCGACACAGGUGGGCGAGAUGAGUAUUCUAAGGCGCUUGAGAGAACUCGGGAGAAGGAACUCGGCAAAUUGGUACCGUAACUUCGGGAUAAGGUACGCCCUUGUAGCUUGACUGGCCUGCGCCAGAAGGGUGAAGGGGUUGCAAUAAACUGGUGGCUGCGACUGUUUAAUAAAAACACAGCACUCUGCAAACACGAAAGUGGACGUAUAGGGUGUGACGCCUGCCCGGUGCCGGAAGAUUAAAUGAUGGGGUGCAAGCUCUUGAUUGAAGUCCCGGUAAACGGCGGCCGUAACUAUAACGGUCCUAAGGUAGCGAAAUUCCUUGUCGGGUAAGUUCCGACCUGCACGAAUGGCGUAACGAUGGCCACACUGUCUCCUCCCGAGACUCAGCGAAGUUGAAGUGUUUGUGAUGAUGCAAUCUACCCGCGGCUAGACGGAAAGACCCCAUGAACCUUUACUGUAGCUUUGCAUUGGACUUUGAACCGGUCUGUGUAGGAUAGGUGGGAGGCUUUGAAGCAGGAACGCUAGUUUCUGUGGAGCCGUCCUUGAAAUACCACCCUGGCUUGUUUGAGGUUCUAACCUAGGUCCGUAAUCCGGAUCGGGGACAGUGCAUGGUAGGCAGUUUGACUGGGGCGGUCUCCUCCCAAAGUGUAACGGAGGAG